UACGGAGGGUGCAAGCGUUGUCCGGAAUUAUUGGGCGUAAAGAGCUCGUAGGUGGUUUGUCGCGUUGUUCGUGAAAACUCACAGCUUAACUGUGGGCGUGCGGGCGAUACGGGCAGACUGGAGUACUGCAGGGGAGACUGGAAUUCCUGGUGUAGCGGUGGAAUGCGCAGAUAUCAGGAGGAACACCGGUGGCGAAGGCGGGUCUCUGGGCAGUAACUGACGCUGAGGAGCGAAAGCGUGGGGAGCGAACAGG
rnacentral:rRNA from 1 species